rnacentral:lncRNA from 1 species
AGCUAGACUCACUUUUAAACCCCCAGUAACAUAGAAGGCAAUAGUGCUUAUUACCCCAGGUUGAACUGCUUUCUCUCCAGAAUAACUAUAUAGUUCUUAGUCUCCUACUUUACGAAUGAAACUAUCUGAAGAGCCCGUUUUUUGUGUGGCCUGGUUCCCUCACCUGCUUGGAAACUUUUUGCUUCCCUCUGUCAGCAGUGAGCCCAAAGAGAUAGUUGAAAAGUCCAAAAUCCCAGGCCGAAGAAACUCCCGAACUGAAGAGCCAACUGUGGCCUCUGAAAGUGUGGAAAAUGGACAUCGUAAACGAUCUUCUCGACCUGCUUCAGCCUCCAGCUCUACUAAAGGUUAGCAGUGGGAUGUGGGUGCUAUUUGUGGGUCAAAUAGAGGAAUAGAGUUCUUACCACAGCAGUAGAAGACUUUGUCCUUCAUCAUUGCUUCUGUUCCUGAAGUCUGUCAAGUGUCUUUGUCUUCUACUACCUGUUUGGUCCUUCCUUUAUUUGUUCAUUUAACUGUAUGUUUUCUGUGUGUGUACUCAAGAGCAACAAGCACUGCUGGAAAAAAGAACAUAACAGGGCAGAUUUAUUCCACUGGUUUUUGGGUUUUGGGUUUUUUUGUUGUUGUUGUUGGUUUUUGUUUGUUUGUUUUUUUGAAACAGGGUCUCACUUUAUUGCCUGGGCUGGAGUGCAGUGGCACAAUCACAGCUCACUGCAGCCUUGAAUUCCUGGGCUCAAGUAAUUCUCCUGCCUCAGCCUUCCAAAGCUGGAAUUGCAGGCAUGAGCCACCACACCUGGCCUUGAGUCCACUUUUUUUUUUUUUUUGAGAUGGAGUCUCAUUCUGUUGCCCAGGCUGGAGUGCAGUGGCGUGAUCUCAGCUUACUGUAACCUCCGCCUCCCAGGUUCAAGUGAUUCUCCUGCCUCAGCGUCCUGAGUAGCUGGGAUUACAGGUGCGUGCCACCUCACCUGGCUAAUGUUUCUAUUUUUAGUAGAGACAGGGAUUCAUCAUGUUGGCCAGGCUGGUCUCGAACUCCUAACCUCAAGUGAUCUGCCCAUCUCAGCUUCCUAAAGUGCUGGGAUUACAGGCUGAGCCACCACGCCCAGCUGAUUCCACUUUAAAUUCAUGAUCACCCACUUCAGAUAGGUCCUGAAUAUGGCCCAGCUAUCUUUCCAUGUUUCCAUGGUCAACUAUCUUUCCCACUCUAUUCUUUUUAAACCUCUGGUCCACACUUUCUCCCCCUCUCUCUUGGUAGAGACCCUGACCUCUUCACAGAGAAAAUAGAAUUCCCUCAGCUUCCCACUACCAAGAAAUAAAUCUACCAGUAUCCUCCUUUGUGCUUUCUAUAAUAGAGCAGCUGUCCUUCCUCAAGUCUAAGGCCAGUUUCUCCAUCUAUGCCUUUGAUCCCAUCUCCUCUGACCUUCUUAAGAACCUUACCCUGUGAGUGUUCUCUGUUGACUACUAUCUCCUUUUUAAAUUAACUUUUCCCUUGGGUUCUGUGACCAAGAACUCUCUGUUGUCUUCUGCUACCACCUCUCCAGCUGCUCCUCCUCAGUCUCCCUUCCCAGCCAUUAGAUGGUGACCUUCCUCAGACUUUGAUCCUGAGUCACCUUUUCUCUUCAAAUUCGUAUUUUCUCCCUAAUGGAUCUCAGUCAUGCCCCUCUUCUUUAGUAACAGCCUUUCACAGAUGACUUGUAAAUUUGUAUUUCUAUUUCUAGUACAGACCCCUAGAGAUCUUAGACAACUGCAUGCACAUCCUUACUGGAACCUCAGACUCAACAUAUCUAAAACCAAACUUGUGAUUUUUCACCUCCAACAGUGAGGUCCUCUGCCAUUGUACCCCAUCUCAAUAAAUGGCACCACCAUCUAUCCAUUAGACAAGUCCUCCUUGAUACCUCUCUCCCUCACCCUUAUAUCAAACUCGUCACAAAAAACUGCCCAUUUUAUCUCAGGUGGCCCUUUUCCAUCUUCACUACUACCCAC